rnacentral:lncRNA from 1 species
AGGAAAAGAAAUAUGCUUAGACUGUAGAACAAAUGAUUAAUUUUAAAGUUUGUUUGGGAAGAGCGAGCAAGCGGGGGGGGCAGAGAGGGAGAGAAAAUGCCAACCAGACUUAGCACUGUCAGCGCAGAGCCCAACGCAGGGCUCUAAGCGUAAACGGUGAGAUAUGACCUGAGCAGAAAUCAAGAGUUGGAUGCUCAAGGACUGAGCCACCCGGGGGCCCCAGAACAAAAUGAUUAUUUUUAAGAAUCUUAAUCUUUUCCCUAGAAAUGGUGCUGGGCACGAAUGCAAAGUGGCUUUUGAUGGCUUCUGAUGGGCAGGUAAGAAACGGGUUAAUACAGUGGAAAGGAAUCAGAUCUCCUUGGAGGUGGGGUCUUUUGUUAAGCCUGUGAUGGUUUAAGAGUAGUGGACAGAAGGGAUUUCUGAAAAAUCCUAUUCUGAGGCUUAACCAUACCUAAAACCUUGAUAGUUACUUUGGCUGCGCAGUAUGUUUAAUCGGAUGCUCUUUGAUUUCUAGUUCUGUGCCAAAGGGGUGAAAACGGCUGCAAAGGUAAGUUACCGAAAUUCCCUCACCAAGGGAAGUUAGGUUGAAAGUCCACUAAAUGUGCUACAAUGAUGACAUUAUAUUUGCUACUCUUGACUGUGAGAAUGACGAGAGUUACUACCACCAUUACACUUAACUGAGGCACACAAAAGGUGAUUUAGAGAACUUGGAGAUUGACACUACUUUUACAUGAAGCUGUUUCUUCCUAGGUCCUAAAGUUCAAGUUGCACAUGCUACCCAUGGGCAAACAGGUGAGGAACCUUUUAGAUAGUCCGUGUUUACCCAGUCCUUUUCAAUUCUUUUUUUACAUCUGAAUGCCUACACUCUGGUAUUCUGUAUGAAAUGCUUACAACCUGAAACAGAUACUAUGAUGGUUGCAUAGUUCAGCAGAUUGGAUCAUGAAGAGGAUAGUUAUCUAUCUGAUGUAUCGAAGUUGAUAGGAAAAUUGGUUUGCUGUUAAUAGCAUAAGCAAAAUGUCAUUAACCUAGUUUCCUUCCUUCCUUUUUUGUAGGCGCUAAAGGGAGUUGGCUGGAAAUUGAGGAGGUGAGCAGAAUUGUAAUGGAGCUAAAUGUUGGUAACAGGGCAAACAUCACAGUACAGCUAAUGGCUGUUUAGAGUUGCCUUAUGCACAGGAAGCACUCCUGCCACCAAGUGCUUGAAUGCGUUGCUGAAUGCAGUAAACACAUGCCAGACCCUUGUCCUGUUACCAUUGGUUAGGACACUCAUGAUUUGUAAAAAGCAGCCUGGAUGAUGAUAAGCAAAUACUGACUGAACAUGAAGGUCUUAAUUAGCUCUACCUGAUUUCAGGCAUUUUUGACGUUGUGGGGAGAAAAUUCAUCUUUUGCCUCUUGUGAAACUGUCUUUAUUUCUUAGGUGGACUUGAGUCUCAGUCAUGUUUGGAGCAACAAUUUAUUUUGGUAAGUAUUAAGCAUUUUAGUAAGCUCAAAACUUAACUGAGUGCUGAUGAAAUAGAAUGCUUAACUACCAAGUUAACUAGUUUACUGUGGCUACUUAGUGGGUGCAUGUUGAGCAUGCUGUGAAUGGGGUUUUUGAAAUGAUGUUGACCAAAUGUCUGACCUGAAGUGAGCAUGUAGACAAAUUUAACACUGAAGAACCCUGUGACAAAUAACUCUGAGAAGAAUUCGGUGAUAAUUAACAUUUUAACGAAGUGUCUUGUUUUUUUCUAGGUUACUGGCCACUAUCCUGGAUGGCUUGCUUGGGGUAAGACAAAACAGUUCUUUGGUUGCUGAACUCAAGUUCGUGUGUGGCCGAAAUGUGCUAUAAUGUGUUAAGUGUGUUCUGGUGUUUCAGGGAAGAUUCAGCCAUUGUGAAGUGCAUUUAAAUUUUUUUUUUUUUUUUUUUUGGUCAGGUGCUGAUUUUGAAGAACUUUUUAUAUAAAGGUAUGUAUUCUCUAAACCUUUUUUGGUUAACAAGCAAGAUACUGUUAGUGAUGAUUUUUGAAAUUAAAAACAGAUGGGAAUCUCUCUGAAAAAGAGUGAAGAUUUCUUAAACGCUGAAACAGUAUUUGGAAAAGUUGAGAAAUCCACUUGUUACUACCUGUUAACUAAAUUUGACUAAAUUUUCUGCAGGUGUGAAGAGUUAGUGGCUCACGAGGCCCGGAAUGAGGAGUUUUAAGCCAAGGUAUAGUCGUUUCAAGUUGGGUGUCUAUAUGAAGUGGUUUAAAGCCGAUACAGUGAUGAGAACAUAGUUCAGCAGACUUGACAGUGAUGAGCAACAUUGUCUUUCGCUCCUAUCUGACGUAUCUGGCUGCAGCAACCCUAUCCAUACCCUUGAAAACGAGCCAUUUAUUCUACCACAGGAAACGUUCAGGGUUGGGGUAACUAGUGGCUUAUAUACAAAUGUUUUUUUUAGUUUAUUUUGAGGGGUCGGGGAGGAGCAGAGAGGGAGACAGAAUCCACUCUGUGCAGAGUCCAGUGCAGGGCUCCAUCUCCCUGACUUCAUGACCUGAGUCGGACAUUUAACUGAGCCAACCAGGCACCCCAAAUGUUUCAAUUUUACGAUUUCACAUUUUGAGGAGCACAGGUAAAGUUUUUGCCAGGAAAUUGUAAUCUUUUUUUUAAUAAGCUUCAUGUUUUAAAGCAGUUUCAAUAUUGACAACAAAAUUGAACGUAGGAUCCCAUACAUCUGGUCUUCACACCUUCCUCAACAUUCAGCACUAGAGUGAGACUUUGGCUACAAUUAUGAACAUACAAUGAGACCAUUAUCGCCCAAGUCCACAGCUUACAUUAAGGUUCAUUCGUGUUACACGUAUGGGCUUGGACAAUGUGAUACAUCCACCAUUGUGUGUAGAAUAGGUUUGCUGCCCUAAAUGUUACUUUUCAGAAAGUUAAAAAUGGGGAAAACCAGUACAAAUUUUAAAUGGCUUUUUCCCCCCCCCCAACAUAUACAAACAGGCAGACUGUCAACCUGAACAUUAAGAGGUAAGUUGGUCUGUGGUAUAUGUGAUAAGUUAGCAUGUAACCAGUGAUGUAAUGAUUCUGCCAAAUGAAACCGAAUGAUAUCACUCAUAAAACCGUUCCAUUUUUGUUUCUGAGGUUACUAGCAAACAUCAUGCGGGGUGGUUUUUGUUUUUUUCACCAUAAUUAACCUGCCAUCAUUGCUUUUAGGGCAUUUGUGAGGGCAGCGAUCCAGUUAUGAGAGCAGCUUGCUAGUUGAAAGGUGAGACUUUAAAAACCUCAAUACUGUUGUCUUAAUCCAGAAUACAUGAUGAUCUCACUCCAACUUGAACUCUCUCACUGAUCACUUGAUGAUUAUAAAAGAUCUGAUAUUCUGUGUAUUGAGAAUACAAUUAGAAUUAAAACAAAAAUGUGUCUAAAAGUUGCUGCUUUGUCCUUCCAGCACCUGGAUGGAUGCCCACGGGAUAGAAGAUCAAGCUUUUCAAUAUCAAUAAAUUUUUAUAAACCAUCUGAUCAA